GUAUCUGUAGUGCAAUGGAUAGCGCGUUGGACUUCUAAUCCAAAAGUUGUGAGUUUGAAUCUUACCUGGGAUG